rnacentral:rRNA from 1 species
AGUGAACGCUGGCGGUAGGCCUAACACAUGCAAGUCGAACGGCAGCACAGUAAGAGCUUGCUCUUACGGGUGGCGAGUGGCGGACGGGUGAGGAAUACAUCGGAAUCUACUUUUUCGUGGGGGAUAACGUAGGGAAACUUACGCUAAUACCGCAUACGACCUACGGGUGAAAGCAGUGGAUCUUCGGACCUUGCGCGAUUGAAUGAGCCGAUGUCGGAUUAGCUAGUUGGCGGGGUAAAGGCCCACCAAGGCGACGAUCCGUAGCUGGUCUGAGAGGAUGAUCGGCGACACUGGAACGUAGACACGGUCCAGACUCCUACGGGAGGCAGCAGUGGGGAAUAGUGGGCAAUGGGCGCAAGUCUGAUCCAGCCAUACCGCGUGGGUGAAGAAGGCGUUCGGGUUGUAAAGCCCUUUUGUUGGGAAAGAAAAGCAGCAGGUUAAUACCCCGCUGUUCUGACGGUACCCAAAGAAUAAGCACCGGCUAACUACGUG